CAUGGGGGCAUGAGAGUUUAUUGUCUCCAAGAGGGUGAAGGUCGUGGUCCCAAUGCACAGGUGGGGGCACCCACAGUGUUAUCCUUCCUGGGUUUCCCUUGGGCAGAGGGGGCUGGAAAUGGGAAGGCAGAGUGGGAGCCCCAGCUGUGGCCGCACCCAGGUUCUUCUGCCCCUCGAAGGGUCCUGGACAGCAUUCAGGGCAAGGGGCCUCAUGCAAGGGGCCAUCGCCCACCAGAGACACUGUCUUUCCCACCACCAACACCAGAGGCACCGUCCUUCCCCAUCACCCAACACCGGAGGCACCAUCCUUCCCCAUUGCCCAUCAGAGGCACCGUCCAUCCCAUCACCCACACCAGAGGCACCGUCCUUCCCAUCACCCACACCAGAG
rnacentral:lncRNA from 1 species